UCAAAGUGAAGAAAUUCAACCAAGCGCGGG
rnacentral:snRNA from 1 species